UGGUCGUAACUCUAUAAAAUUUUGGUCUGCAUAUUUUUAGAUCGGGUGGUGCCACAGCUGCCGCUCAAAACAAUAUUUCAGAUACAUGUAGGUGAUUUAAAAUACAUGGUCGGUGGAAAUCCGAUAAAACGUAAGACGGCUAUGUAUUAGAAAGUUUACAGAAGCGUUUGUAAGUAUCUCAAAAUCUUGGUAUAUGAUAUGUAGUUAACGUCAAGUUUGCUUUCUUUGUGCGUCGAGAUGAGCAUUGCGUCUAACAGUACCUAAAUGUGUAUUUAGUUUUCUAGUUUGCCUUUAUUGUAUAAAGGUACAUAUAUGAAUGUGCUCAGAUAUGUAUGCUGUACAAAAAUCUAUAGAGAUCUAGCACAUAAAUACUUUUUGUUCGUUUGAACACAGUGAAUUUAGAACAUAAUGACUUUUACUUAGUGAUGGAAGCGAUAAAGCUACAUUAAGAGGUUCAUAUUGCUGUAUUGUGCAUGUAUGUGGAUCCUAUUCAGUAACACAUGUGACAAUGAUAUACUUUUAUAAGUCAAAUUGGUUCCACAAGAAUCGACUAAUCGUAUUGUUGGUACGUUAUGGCAUUAGUUAUCCCUACAUAUUUGGACUUAAGGUGAUAAAAACAAAUUAAAACUCUUUUCUUCUUUUUUUGUCUAUAAAUCUGUUAUUUUGCAUAGUUAAAGUGUAGCUCUAAUGUCUGAUUAAUUUGUUUUUUUUCGUUACCCAGAAGAUGAAUUGAACGGCGAAGGUGUAACUCUGAUUUUUUUUCUGUUGUCUUUUGAAAACUACUGUGUUUGUUUUUUGGGUUUGUUUUUUUUGUUUUUUUUUUUUGCAGGAGGUUGUCAAUUAGUUAUAAACUCGUGAGUCUUAACAUCUCUGCUGUAUCGUUCACUUCCUUACUUUUGAAAAUGAAAAUCGAAAUGAAAUGACAAACGAUAUAACCUACUUAAACCUCUUCCUUGUUUUCUUGCCCGUAAAAUCAAUUGUAGUACGUUUAAUUACUGUUGAAUUUUAUUACAUUCCAUUUCGAAGUUAAAAAAAGAAAAAUGAUCAUAUCCAGAUAUUAAUUCGGCUGAAAACGAUCAAACUUUAUUGUAAAAUCAUAACGCCUCAUUAACCGAGAUGUCAUUUGGGGAAAUAUGUCCUGAAUAAAAUGGGUGCUACAGAGCUGAUUGUUUUUCGCAAAGACUUGUUUUGUCAGGCAAAAUUUAGAUAUUUUGAAAAAAAGGUUUAAUAAUGAUAGUAAAAACAUGUUUUCAAGUUUUUUAGAUGUUUUUGAAUAUCUUAUUUUUUUGUAGAAGAACGAAAUUAUUUUCUUAGAUCAUUUUUAUAAGGAAUACGUUGG
rnacentral:lncRNA from 1 species